rnacentral:sRNA from 1 species
CCUCCGCCUCCCAGGUUCAAGCGAUUCUCUCGCCUCAGCCUCCUGAGUAGCUGGAACUAUAGGCGUACGCCACCAUACCUGGCUAAGAAAUUAACUUUAAUAACAUUUUAAUUAAGCUAACAUAUUUAAAAUAUUAUUUCAACAUACAAUCAAUAUUUUUAAUUUACUUUUUUUAUUUUUUUGAGACAGUCUCACUCUGUUGCCCAGGUUGCAGUGAGCUGAGAUCAUACCACCGAGCUCCAGCCUGGGCGACAGAGCGAGACCAUGUCAAAAAAAAAAAACAGGAGUGGGACUGUCUGGUUCUGGCCUGAUCAUGGAAUUCUGGGGACACGGGGUGAA